rnacentral:lncRNA from 1 species
CACCAGGCUGAAAUUUCCCUAUUUUUGGGGUUUUUUUUUCCAUUUAUUUCCACACACUUGUGUGCAAGCAAAAUCAUUUAUUGUGAAAUCCUCACCCUCCCAUCUCCCUGCUCCCUCACUCCACGUUCAGAUUGUUUACUGUGUGUAAAUUCAGAUUUUUGCUCUUUCCCCCUCAUUUUUUACGGCCUUUUUAUUAUAUUUUGCUCGCAGCUCGCCAACAUCUGCCUGCAGAAUCUCCCAUUUCAUAGAAAAGCAGGAAAAGCCAGGAUUUUCUGAUUUGGAAGAUGCUUUUGCUGGCUCGUGGUUUUGGGGUUUGUUCCCGCCCGCCCUGCCCCGGGGGGACUCGGCAAAAGCUGAAGGGAACCCAAGGAAAAUGAGAAGGAGCAGCUCAGAAGGGUCUCUCCUACAAAGGGAAAAGCAAAACCAACCCAAAAUCAGCAAAAAGCUGGGCAGCUCCAAAUUCUACUUGAAUCAGAGUAUGAAGCUUGGAGGCCUUGGACCUGACUAUGAAACAAUCAAAGAGAAAAAAGAAAAGAUGAAGCUGCAGAAGGAAUAUUCCAGGCAAAUUAAGGAAUAUAACAUGAAGAAUAUCACUGUGGUUCAGAGGCUGCCUGCAAAGCCCCAGGUGCCCUCAGUGUCCAGGCAGAAGGUGAGAGCUGAGUGACUGCAGGCUGCAGGACAAAGCUGGAAUUCAAUAAUAUCAGAAUUC